rnacentral:rRNA from 1 species
AUUGAACGCUGGCGGCAGGCUUAACACAUGCAAGUCGAGCGGGGAAGGGUAGCUUGCUACUGGACCUAGCGGCGGACGGGUGAGUAAUGCUUAGGAAUCUGCCUAUUAGUGGGGGACAACAUCUCGAAAGGGAUGCUAAUACCGCAUACGUCCUACGGGAGAAAGCAGGGGAUCUUCGGACCUUGCGCUAAUAGAUGAGCCUAAGUCGGAUUAGCUAGUUGGUGGGGUAAAGGCCUACCAAGGCGACGAUCUGUAGCGGGUCUGAGAGGAUGAUCCGCCACACUGGGACUGAGACACGGCCCAGACUCCUACGGGAGGCAGCAGUGGGGAAUAUUGGACAAUGGGCGCAAGCCUGAUCCAGCCAUGCCGCGUGUGUGAAGAAGGCCUUAUGGUUGUAAAGCACUUUAAGCGAGGAGGAGGCUACUUUAGAUAAUACCUAGAGAUAGUGGACGUUACUCGCAGAAUAAGCACCGGCUAACUCUGUGCCAGCCGCCGCGGUAACAC